UAGCUGCUCUGCAGCUCCGUAGGAAAGGAAAAGGCUCACAGGCGUGUCUGCACUGUGUUGCCGCCCCGGGGCUGCCUUUCCCAGCGCCCUGGGUGUCUCCCGGAGGCUCUGAAUCUGCCAGCCGGGAGCUGUCUUUGCUCCUGUCUCUUUGGGGAUGUCUUCAUUCUCCCUUCAUUCUGCGCAGUUUUGCUGGCUGUGGGGUUCUUGGUGUGACCGUCGUCUCUUUCGACACUUUGAAUAUGUCAUGUCACUGCUUCCUAGGCUCCAGGGUCCCAGGCGAGAAGGCAGCUGUCAGCCUUUGAGAGAAAGAAGCCUCUGCACGGUGAGCCGGGGUCUCCUCUGCUUUCGAGAUGCCCCGCCUUCACCGUCCUGCUGUUAACUAAAGCCUGUCUAGUCAGGGACUCCUUGUCUGUGCUGCUGGGGCUUUGCUGAGCUUCUUGCUUCUGGAGGUGGUUUCUCUUUAAACUUGGAAGGUUUCGCCCAUUGUUUCUCCCGAGAUCCUUUCUGCCCUGCCCCUCCUUCCUCUCCUGGGACCCCCGUCAGGUGCGCACACUGGCCUCUCAGGCCUGGUUUUCUUCAUUCUUUCUCUGUUUCUCAGGCUGGACCUGUUGGCCUCCCUCCCGGGCCUAGAUUCUUUCUUCCGCCAACUGCAGUCCGGUGCUGAGUUGCUCUAGGGAGCUUUUCAUUUCUGUGACUGUGCUUUUUCAGUCCAGAAAACGUCUGCUUGGUUUUCUUCCUUAAUUGGUUUCUUGUUAUGGAUAUUCCAUUGGCACAGCAUCACUCUUUAGGCAUGAGCACACAGUGACUGAGCUAGAGCACUUGUCUAGUAAGCUUAGCAUCUGGGCUUCUCCAGAAGUUUCUGAAGUAACUGAUCCAAAGCACUUGUCUAGUAAGCUUAGCAUCUGGGCUUUUCCAGAAGUUUCUGAAGUAACUGAUCUGAAGCACUUGUCUAGUAAGGUUAGCAUCUGGGCUUUUCCAGAAGUUUCUGAAGUAACUGAUCUAAAGCACUUGUCUAGUAAGGUUAGCAUCUGGGCUUUUCCAGAAGUUUCUGAAGUAACUGAUCUAAAGCACUUGUCUAGUAAGGUUAGCAUCUGGGCUUUUUCCAGAAGUUUCUGUCCGCCACUGUCUCCCUCGGUGUGUGGGCCCUGCUUCCCUGGCCCUUGGGUCUCUUUCUUGUUCAAGUGGUAGGAUGUGGCAACUCUGGAAGAUCCUCCCGUCCCCCAGAUUGUUUCUGGUUGUUUGUUUAGUGUGUUUCCUGUACCAGUUGGGUAAAUCUGCACGUGUUGUGCUUGGCCAUGUGAGUCCUGGCCUGGCAGCUUCCCGAUCAGCUCAGUAGGUUUCCUCAAAUGCUUUGAUCCAGUGAGUCUCGUGGUUUUGCCGACUAGCUGUGUGUGCAUGGGUGUGCGUGUGUGGGGUGCGUGUGCAUGAGGGCCUGCAAGUGUGCGUGGGCGUGUGUGUGUGUGCGGGAGUGUGCGUGUGUGUGGGAGUGUGUGUGGGUGUGUGGGGCACACCUUCAGUGUUCUCCCAGCCAGAUGCUGGCUGUGACUUGGCUCUCGUUUCAUGAAUGUUUUGAUCUUUGCUCCAUGAGAAAGUCGCUUAUAGUUGUGAUUGAUGUUUCUCUUAGGAGUGAGAGCAAGCGUUUUCCAUAUGUUGGAGCAUUCGUUGCUCAUCCUUUUCUGGGAAUUGUAUUCCAUACCCUUUGUUCAUUUUUCUGUUAGUUUAUGGGUUUCUUGCUAAACUGUGGGGACGCUGUAUUCAGUGAGAAGACAAGCUGUACAUGAUGUGUUGCAAGCGCGCCU
ensembl:lncRNA